UUCCUACGGGGCGCAGCAGUGGGGGAUAUUGCACAGUGGGGGGAACCCUGAUGCAGCGACGCCGCGUGGGUGAAGAAGCGCCUCGGCGCGUAAAGCCCUGUCAGCAGGGAAGAAAAUGACGGUACCUGACUAAGAAGCCCCGGCUAACUACGUGCCAGCAGCCGCGGUAAUACGUAGGGGGCAAGCGUUAUCCGGAUUUACUGGGUGUAAAGGGAGCGUAGACGGCUUGGCAAGCCAGAUGUGAAAGGCUGGGGCUCAACCCCAGGACUGCAUUUGGAACUGUCAUGCUAGAGUGUCGGAGAGGC
rnacentral:rRNA from 1 species